UACAGAGGGUGCGAGCGUUAAUCGGAAUGACUGGGCGUAAAGCGUGCGCAGGCGGGCGUGUAGGUUGGGUGUGAAAGACCAGGGCUUAACCUUGGAAUUGCAAUCAAUACGACACGCCUAGAGUCUUAAAUAGAGGGUAGCGGAAUUUCCGGUGUAGCGGUGAAAUGCGUAGAUAUCGGAAGGAACACCAGUGGCGAAAGCGGCUACCUGGGCAAAGACUGACGCUGUGGCACGAAGGCAUGGGUAGCGAACAGG
rnacentral:rRNA from 1 species